ACUCAAAUGAAUAGACGGGGACCCGCACAAGCAGCGGAGCAUGUGGUUUAAUUCGAAGCAACGCGAAGAACCUUACCAGGUCUUGACAUCCCGAUGACAGGCGUAGAGAUAUGCCCUCUCUUCGGAGCAUUGGAGACAGGUGGUGCAUGGUUGUCGUCAGCUCGUGUCGUGAGAUGUUGGGUUAAGUCCCGCAACGAGCGCAACCCCUAUAUUUAGUUGCCAUCAUUUCGGAUGGGCACUCUAGAUAGACUGCCGGGGAUAACUCGGAGGAAGGUGGGGACGACGUCAAAUCAUCAUGCCCCUUAUGGCCUGGGCUACACACGUGCUACAAUGGCCGGUAACAGAGGGAAGCGAAGCCGUAAGGUGGAGCGAAUCCCAUAAACCCGGUCCCAGUUCGGAUUGUGGGCUGCAACUCGCCCACAUGAAGUCGGAGUUGCUAGUAAUCGCGAAUCAGCACGUCGCGGUGAAUGCGUUCCCGGGUCUUGUACACACCGCCCGU
rnacentral:rRNA from 1 species